UUCCGUUGAUCCUGCGGAAGAUUGCUGCUAUUAGAAUCCGGCUAAGGCAUGCAAGUCAGAGGGCUUUUCGGAGCCCAGGCAAACUGCUCAGUAACACGUCAAUAAUCUAACCUUAAGUCUAGGAUAACCUCGGAAAACUGAGGGUAAAACUGGAUAGAUGAGGAAAUUUGGAAUAAUUCUUCAUCCAAAAGCAAUGCUUAAGGAUGAGUUGGCGGCUGAUUAGGUUGUGGUGAGGUAACGGCUCACCAAGCCGACGAUCAGUAGGGGCCCUGAGAGGGGUUGCCCCGAGAAGGACACUGAGACACUGGUCCUAGCCCUACGGGGUGCAGCAGCUGCGUAAACUCUACAAUGCGUGAAAACGUGAUAGGGGGAUUCUAAGUGCUUAUGCCUUUGGUAUAAGCUUUUGUCAUAUGUAAAAAGUAUGAUGAAUAAGUGGUGGGUAAGACGGGUGCCAGCCGCCGCGGUAACACCUGCGCCACAAGUGGCAAUCAUGUCUAUUGGGCCUAAAGCGUUCGUAGCCGGUUUAGUAAGUUCUAAGUGAAAUUAUUCUGCUCAACAGAAUAGCGUGCUCGGAAUACUGCUAAACUAGGGACCGGGAGACGUUAGAGGUAUGGAAAGGGAAGCGGUAAAAUGUGAUAAUCCUUUCUAGACCACCAAUGGCGAAGGCAUCUAACGAGAACGGGUCCGACGGUGAGGGACGAAAGCCAGGGUAGCAAAAGGGAUAGAUACCCCUGUAGUCCUGGCUGUAAACGCUGUGAGCUAGGUGUUGUAUAUUCCACGCGAAUAUACAGCGCCGUAGAGAAGUCGUUAAGCUCACCGCCUGGGAAGUACGGUCGCAAGGCUGAAACUUAAAGGAAUUGGCGGGGGAGUACCACAAGGGGUGCGGCGUGCGGUUUAAUUUAACUCAACGCAGAGAAUCUCACCAGGGGCGACGGCAGGAUGAUAGUCAACCUAAAGGGUUUACUGGACGAGCCGAGAGGUGGUGCAUGGCUGUCGUCAGCUCGUACCGUGAGGUGUCCAGUUAAGUCUGGCAACGAGCGAGACCCACACCUUUAAUUGUCAGCGAGUUCUUUAGAAUGAUCGGACACAUUAGAGGAACUGCCUUGGAAACAAGGAGGAAGGUGUGGGCGACGGUAAGUCUGUACGCCCCGAACCUCCUGGGCUACACGCGCGCAACAAUGGUAGGAACAAUGGGAUGCGACACCGAAAGGUGAAGCUAAUCCUCGAAAUCCUAUCUUAGUCUAGAUCGAGUUUUGUAACUCAGACUCGUGACACCGGAAUCCCUAGUAAUCGGAAGUUAUCAUCUUCCGGUGAAUGUGUCCCUGCUCCUUGCACACACCGCCCGUCAUUCCAACCGAGCAGAGUUAAAGUGAGGCUAUGUUUUUAAUGUAUUCGAACUUUAGCUCAGUGAGGCGGGACAAGUCGUCACAAGGUA
rnacentral:rRNA from 1 species